rnacentral:rRNA from 1 species
AUGGAGGUGAACCGGCGGUUCAUACACGGCGAGCUGGCCCUCCUUAUGGCUUGCAAGGAGUGGGAGCUGGGCGGCAGCAAGAGGGCCGACGACUGCCCGAUCUGCUUGGAUGGCCUGGAGCUGGAAGGACAGCCCGCCGUGGAGCUGCCGUGCAAGCACCCGUUCCACAGCCAGUGCAUUUCCACAUGGUUUUCUAAGAAGACAACUUGCCCGAUGUGCCGUGGCGACGUGAGGCUCUGCGCUCUGCCGGAGUUUCUCAACCUGUAG